UAAGGGCGCACGGUGGAUGCCUUGGCACUAGAAGCCGAUGAAGGACGUUACUAACGACGAUAUGCUUUGGGGAGCUGUAAGUAAGCUUUGAUCCAGAGAUUUCCGAAUGGGGAAACCCAGCAUGAGUUAUGUCAUGUUAUCGAUAUGUGAAUACAUAGCAUAUCAGAAGGCACACCCGGAGAACUGAAACAUCUUAGUACCCGGAGGAAGAGAAAGAAAAUUCGAUUCCCUUAGUAGCGGCGAGCGAAACGGGAAGAGCCCAAACCAACAAGCUUGCUUGUUGGGGUUGUAGGACACUCUAUACGGAGUUACAAAGGACGACAUUAGACGAAUCAUCUGGAAAGAUGAAUCAAAGAAGGUAAUAAUCCUGUAGUCGAAAAUGUUGUCUCUCUUGAGUGGAUCCUGAGUACGACGGAGCACGUGAAAUUCCGUCGGAAUCUGGGAGGACCAUCUCCUAAGGCUAAAUACUCUCUAGUGACCGAUAGUGAACCAGUACCGUGAGGGAAAGGUGAAAAGCACCCCGGAAGGGGAGUGAAAUAGAACCUGAAACCGUGUGCUUACAAGUAGUCAGAGCCCGUUAAUGGGUGAUGGCGUGCCUUUUGUAGAAUGAACCGGCGAGUUACGAUUUGAUGCAAGGUUAAGCAGUAAAUGUGGAGCCGUAGCGAAAGCGAGUCUGAAUAGGGCGUUUAGUAUUUGGUCGUAGACCCGAAACCAGGUGAUCUACCCUUGGUCAGGUUGAAGUUCAGGUAACACUGAAUGGAGGACCGAACCGACUUACGUUGAAAAGUGAGCGGAUGAACUGAGGGUAGCGGAGAAAUUCCAAUCGAACCUGGAGAUAGCUGGUUCUCUCCGAAAUAGCUUUAGGGCUAGCCUCAAGUGAUGAUUAUUGGAGGUAGAGCACUGUUUGGACGAGGGGCCCCUCUCGGGUUACCGAAUUCAGACAAACUCCGAAUGCCAAUUAAUUUAACUUGGGAGUCAGAACAUGGGUGAUAAGGUCCGUGUUCGAAAGGGAAACAGCCCAGACCACCAGCUAAGGUCCCAAAAUAUAUGUUAAGUGGAAAAGGAUGUGGCGUUGCCCAGACAACUAGGA
rnacentral:rRNA from 1 species